rnacentral:rRNA from 1 species
UACGUAGGGGGCAAGCGUUGUCCGGAUUUACUGGGCGUAAAGAGCGUGUAGGCGGCCACGCAGGUCCGUUGUGAAAACUGGAGGCUCAACCUCCAGACGUCGACGGAAACCGUGUGGCUAGAGUCCGGAAGAGGAGAGUGGAAUUCCUGGUGUAGCGGUGAAAUGCGCAGAUAUCGAGGAAGAACACCCGGUGGCUAAGGCGGCUCUCUAGUACGGUACUGACGCUGAGACGCGAAAGCGUGGGGAGCGAACAGGAUUAAGAA